CUUACCAAAUGGAACCAAUGAUUAUCUCCUCAUCACUUUUUUCCAAAUGGACCAAUUUGAUUCCAAAGUCACAAUAUUAGUAUACAAAAUGAAUAUGCAACUUUGAGAUUUGAUUUUGUGCUCUUGGGGUUGGAAUCGUUGCUAGUGGAGUAACUUGUUUCAGGUUGGGAGAUUGGAUCAGAGUCACUUCACAUUCCAGAUUCUGAUUUGCUGUGUUUUUGAAGGGAAGGAUGAGAAAAACGA
rnacentral:sRNA from 1 species